UCUCCGGCUUUGUUCCUGCCCAGAAUCGGUGGUGCCUGAGGAAGCUGAGCAACGCGGAGGUCGGCGCGCGCGUGCGUCUUCGUCGGAGGGAUAGCGAGCACAAGAUGGCGACGAGGUCGUCGCCGGACGACGAGGCGCGCGGUAGCUGGAGGAGCGAGUCGCGUGGUUGUGCGGCGAGAUCUGCGUCGAGGAGCCAGACGCACAGUAGUGCGACGGGAUCUGCGGCUGGAGAGAGCGGCGGGCUCGUCAGCGGAGGGCUAGGUUUCUACAUCGAGCAAACCUGGGUUUAAUGGAGAUCUUCAAGAUAUGAAGAAGAGAGAGUGCUGGGAGGAGGCGUCAUGUGGUUCUGGAUUGGGGCCUGGUUAGCACUGCACUAGCACGCGAGAGCUGCAAGAUGGGUCGGAACCUAAUCAGGGAAUCGGGGGCGCGAGGGAGCCUGGCUGGUGGCGUGUGUUGCUUUUUUUUGACUGAGUGCUAGGUCAUACUAGCUAGCAUCCGGAUGCUGAGUCGGACCAGCUAGCACCCGGAUGCUGGCAUGGACAAACCAGCACCGGAUGCUAGCUAGCCACGUCCAUAAGAAAUAGAGUUCGUUUGUGUUUCAGAGUCGUGCCUGCGUGCACACUAUAAAUAAGACCAACCGGUCAUUGUAUUAGGGCAGACAAUGUUUUGAGAGUUAAGAGAUACCAGAAAACGCCAUGGUUUUGGCGGCCA